AGCAGCCGCGGUAAUUCCAGCUCCAAUAGCGUAUAUUAAAGUUGUUGCAGUUAAAAAGCUCGUAGUUGAAUUUCGGGAUCAAUUUAUUGGUCGUGCUAUUGUACGUACUGGUAUCAUUGAUUCCUACCUUCUGACGAACCAUGAUGUCAUUAAUUUGGUGUCAUGGGGAAUCAGGACUGUUACUUUGAAAAAAUUAGAGUGUUUAAAGCAGGCUCACGCUUGAAUACAUUAGCAUGGAAUAACGAAAUAGGACGUUUGAUUCUAUUUUGUUGGUUUCUAGGAUCGACGUAAUGAUUAAUAGGGAUAGUUGGGGGCAUUAGUAUUCAAUUGUCAGAGGUGAAAUUCUUGGAUUUAUUGAAGACUAACUACUGCGAAAGCAUUUGCCAAGGAUGUUUUCAUUAAUCAAGAACGAAAGUUAGGGGAUCGAAGACGAUCAGAUACCGUCGUAGUCUUAACCAUAAACUAUGCCGACUAGGGAUCGGAUGAUGUUAAUUUUUUAAUGACUCAUUCGGCGCCUUACG
rnacentral:misc_RNA from 1 species